UCUAGUUCAUCGUCCCGCAGUUCAUCAAGGAGUUCAUCUAGCAGCAGCAGUAGCUCUGGAUCCUCACGUUCGGGCACCCGCUCACCCUCAAUACCACGACGAAGGGGUUCACCCAGCUUCCUAGAUCGUCGACGUAUUACUAGCCGUCGUACAUCACAUGCUCGUGAACGCAGAAGAUAUUGAUUUCAUUAAAUU